GAUGAACGCUGGCGGCGUGCUUAACACAUGCAAGUCGAACGAGCUUUAUCACUACGAUCCCUUCGGGGUGACGGUUUUAAAGCGAGUGGCGGACGGGUGAGUAACGCGUGGAUAACCUGCCAUACACUGGGGGAUAACAGCUGGAAACAGCUGCUAAUACCGCAUAAAACUGUAGAGUCGCAUGACUUUAUAGCCAAGGCUCCGGCGGUGUAUGAUGGAUCCGCGUCUGAUUAGGCAGUUGGCGGGGUAACGGCCCACCAAACCGACGAUCAGUAGCCGACCUGAGAGGGUGACCGGCCACAUUGGGACUGAGACACGGCCCAGACUCCUACGGGAGGCAGCAGUGGGGAAUAUUGCACAAUGGAGGAAACUCUGAUGCAGCGACGCCGCGUGAGCGAUGAAGUAUUUCGGUAUGUAAAGCUCUAUCAGCAGGGAAGAUAAUGACGGUACCUGACUAAGAAGCUCCGGCUAAAUACGUGCCAG
rnacentral:rRNA from 1 species